rnacentral:rRNA from 1 species
ACGGUAACAGAGAAGCAGCUUGCUGCUUUGCUGACGAGAGGCGGACGGGAGAGUAAAGUCUGGGAAACUGCCUGAUGGAGGGGGAUAACUACUGGAAACGGUAGCUAAUACCGCAUAACGUCGCAAGACCAAAGAGGGGGACCUUCGGGCCUCUUGCCAUCGGAUGUGCCCAGAUGGGAUUAGCUAGUAGGUGGGGUAACGGCUCACCUAGGCGACGAUCCCUAGCUGGUCUGAGAGGAUGACCAGCCACACUGGAACUGAGACACGGUCCAGACUCCUACGGGAGGCAGCAGUGGGGAAUAUUGCACAAUGGGCGCAAGCCUGAUGCAGCCAUGCCGCGUGUAUGAAGAAGGCCUUCGGGUUGUAAAGUACUUUCAGCGGGGAGGAAGGGAGUAAAGUUAAUACCUUUGCUCAUUGACGUUACCCGCAGAAGAAGCACCGGCUAACUCCGUGCCAGCAGCCGCGGUAAUACGGAGGGAGCAAGCGUUAAUCGGAAUUACUGGGCGUAAAGCGCACGCAGGCGGUUUGUUAAGUCAGAUGUGAAAUCCCCGGGCUCAACCUGGGAACUGCAUCUGAUACUGGCAAGCUUGAGUCUCGUAUAGGGGGGUAGAAUUCCAGGUGUAGCGGUGAAAUGCGUAGAGAUCUGGAGGAAUACCGGUGGGGGAAGGCGGCCCCCUGGACGAAGACUGACGCUCAGGUGCGAAAGCGUGGGGAGCAAACAGGAUUAGAUACCCUGGUAGUCCACGCCGUAAACGAUGUCGACUUGGAGGUUGUGCCCUUGAGGCGUGGCUUCCGGAGCUAACGCGUUAAGUCGACCGCCUGGGGAGUACGGCCGCAAGGUUAAAACUCAAAUGAAUUGACGGGGGCCCGCACAAGCGGUGGAGCAUGUGGUUUAAUUCGAUGCAACGCGAAGAACCUUACCUGGUCUUGACAUCCACGGAAGUUUUCAGAGAUGAGAAUGUGCCUUCGGGAACCGUGAGACAGGUGCUGCAUGGCUGUCGUCAGCUCGUGUUGUGAAAUGUUGGGUUAAGUCCCGCAACGAGCGCAACCCUUAUCCUUUGUUGCCAGCGGUCCGGCCGGGAACUCAAAGGAGACUGCCAGUGAUAAACUGGAGGAAGGUGGGGAUGACGUCAAGUCAUCAUGGCCCUUACGACCAGGGCUACACACGUGCUACAAUGGCGCAUACAAAGAGAAGCGACCUCGCGAGAGCAAGCGGACCUCAUAAAGUGCGUCGUAGUCCGGAUUGGAGUCUGCAACUCGACUCCAUGAAGUCGGAAUCGCUAGUAAUCGUGGAUCAGAAUGCCACGGUGAAUACGUUCCCGGGCCUUGUACACACCGCCCGUCACACCAUGGGAGUGGGUUGCAAAAGAAGUAGGUAGCUUAACCUUCGGGAGGGCGCUUACCACUUUGUGAUUCAUGACUGG